rnacentral:tRNA from 1 species
UGGAUCAAGGCAGUGGAUUGUGAAUCCACCAUGCGCGA